GGGGUUACACUACGGGCAGUAGUGGGGUACACCAUGGGAACUAUUGGGGUACACCAUGGGCAGCAUUGGGGUAUCCCAUGGACAGAAGUGGGGUUACACUACGGACACCAUUGGGGUUACACCAUGGGCAUUAUUGGGGUUACAGCAUGGGCAGCACCGGGACCCCCCCCAUAAGCACAGAAGGAGGAGGGGACCGCACUUAUGGGGUGGAGGGGGAACAAAGGGUCUUCCUGGAGAGGCCACACGUUGCUAUUAGGGUGUGUGGGCAGCCCCGGUGCAUGCAGCUCCUGCACGGUGCUGGUGGGUGCAUGGGGUCAGCAGGGUGCACAGUGCAGCAUGCACGACCGGUGUGCAACACGCAUGCUCAGCAUGCAACAUGCAAUGUGCAUAUAGUAUGCAACAUGUGUUGUCAGCAUGCAACGUGCAUAUAAAGCAUGCAGCGCGUGUUCUCAACGUGCAACAUGCAUACAAAGCAUGCAACGUGCUCUAGGCGUGCAACAUGUUAUGUGCCUGCCAGGUGUGCAACAUGCAAGCAAGUGCAAUGUGUGCCCUCCGUGUGCAGCACGGUGCACAGUGGGUGCAUGGUGCUGCGUGGGUGAUGUGUGCACGUUGGUGGUGGUGCACAGAGUUGGUGGGUGCAUGAUUUUGGGUGCUGGAUGGGUGCACAGUGCCACAUGUGUGCAUGGUGUUGGGUGGGCGCACAGCCCUGGAUGGUUGCACGGUGCUGGUUGGGUGCACAGCGUUGGUAGGUGCACGGUGCAGGAUGCAUGCACAGCAUUGCUGGGUGCAGUGUUGGUGGGUGCAUUGUGCAGGAUGCAUGCACAGCCUUGGUGGGUGCACAGCGUUGCUGGGUGCACAGUGCAGGAUGCAUGCACAGCCUUGGUGGGUGCACGGCGUUGCUGGGUG
rnacentral:lncRNA from 1 species